AGGAGCGUGAAGCACUGCCAAAUCUGAUCACCAGCGGAGCGAUAAGUGCUGCUCAGAUACAGAGCAGCCGUCGUCUCGGCCGUAAACAAAGAGACCGACACAAGGACAGAGCUAGAGGUUACACUCUUAUUACUGAUUUUCUGGAGUUCAGCUAACUACACAGACUGUCAGAACACUCUCAACAGUUCAAGAGAACAUAUAAGUGUGACCAACCCUGUUCAGUUAAGGACACUUCUCUCCUCUUCACCACUAAGCAAGUUAAAAAAAAAAAAAAUACUGAAUUUAUGGUCCUUUUUUGUUUUUACAAAAACAAAUGGAAGGAGAUGCAUUGUAACUCUAAUCUCAAUGUAUUUCAGAUGCAUCACAUCCUACAACCUCAUAAUCUUCAGAGAGAAACAGGCACUCAGUCACACCAAAAUACACAUAAUGAUGGAUUUGCGGGCAUCAUAGAGGAUUAUUAAAAUAGAGUA